rnacentral:rRNA from 1 species
CCUGCCGUCUACUCUUGGCCAGCCUUCUGAAAGGAAGAUUAAUCCAGGAUGGGAUCAUGAGUUCACAUGUCCGCAUGAUUAAAGGUAUUUUCCGGUAGACGAUGGGGAUGCGUUCCAUUAGAUAGUAGGCGGGGUAACGGCCCACCUAGUCAACGAUGGAUAGGGGUUCUGAGAGGAAGGUCCCCCACAUUGGAACUGAGACACGGUCCAAACUCCUACGGGAGGCAGCAGUGAGGAAUAUUGGUCAAUGGGCGAUGGCCUGAACCAGCCAAGUAGCGUGAAGGAUGACUGCCCUAUGGGUUGUAAACUUCUUUUAUAAAGGAAUAAAGUCGGGUAUGCAUACCCGUUUGCAUGUACUUUAUGAAUAAGGAUCGGCUAACUCCGUGCCAGCAGCCGCGGUAAUACGGAGGAUCCGAGCGUUAUCCGGAUUUAUUGGGUUUAAAGGGAGCGUAGAUGGAUGUUUAAGUCAGUUGUGAAAGUUUGCGGCUCAACCGUAAAAUUGCAGUUGAUACUGGAUGUCUUGAGUGCAGUUGAGGCAGGCGGAAUUCGUGGUGUAGCGGUGAAAUGCUUAGAUAUCACGAAGAACUCCGAUUGCGAAGGCAGCCUGCUAAGCUGCAACUGACAUUGAGGCUCGAAAGUGUGGGUAUCAAACAGGAUUAGAUACCCUGGUAGUCCACACGGUAAACGAUGAAUACUCGCUGUUUGCGAUAUACGGCAAGCGGCCAAG